rnacentral:lncRNA from 1 species
AACAAUAAAAAGAUGACUAAUACAAAUUAAUUCACAUGUUAACAUUAUUAAAAAAGGGAAGGGCACAAAAACAAAAAUAAACAAAUAUCAGGCAAUACCAAUAUAAAGCAGUAAAAGUGUCUGCAAUGAUCCAUCUUAAUUCAAAGAAUAAAAAAAAUCUUCUAACACAGCUGCAUUUUGGAUAUGCACUUAAAAAUGACAAUUGCACCAUAUUUAAACCUCCC